UUUCGACGAGUUGUUCUUGGC
rnacentral:miRNA from 1 species